AUUGAACGCUGGCGGCAUGCCUUACACAUGCAAGUCGAACGGCAGCGGGGGAGAAGCUUGCUUUUCCUGCCGGCGAGUGGCGAACGGGUGAGUAAUACAUCGGAACGUGCCCUGUAGUGGGGGAUAACUAGUCGAAAGAUUAGCUAAUACCGCAUACGACCUGAGGGUGAAAGCGGGGAACCGCAAGGCCUCAUGCUAUAGGAGCGGCCGAUGUCUGAUUAGCUAGUUGGUGGGGUAAAGGCCUACCAAGGCGACGAUCAGUAGCUGGUCUGAGAGGACGAUCGGCCAGACUGGGACUGAGACACGGCCCCGACUCCUACGGGAGGCAGCAGUGGGGAAUUUUGGACAAUGGGCGAAAGCCUGAUCCAGCAAUGCCGCGUGUGUGAAGAAGGCCUUCGGGUUGUAAAGCACUUUUGUCCGGAAAGAAAUGGCUCUGGUUAAUACCUGGGGUCGAUGACGGUACCGGAAGAAUAAGGACCGGCUAACUACGUGCCAGCCGCCGCGGUAA
rnacentral:rRNA from 1 species